rnacentral:rRNA from 1 species
CAGUCGCCGCGGGAAUACGUAGGGUGCAAGCGUUGUCCGGAAUUAUUGGGCGUAAAGAGCUCGUAGGCGGUUUGUCGCGUCUGCUGUGAAAUCCCGAGGCUCAACCUCGGGCUUGCAGUGGGUACGGGCAGACUAGAGUGCGGUAGGGGAGAUUGGAAUUCCUGGUGUAGCGGUGGAAUGCGCAGAUAUCAGGAGGAACACCGAUGGCGAAGGCAGAUCUCUGGGCCGUAACUGACGCUGAGGAGCGAAAGCGUGGGGAGCGAACAGGAUUAGAUACCCGAGUAGUCCCUGUCUCUUAUAC